rnacentral:other from 1 species
UUUACCCUGGGGGGGUUCGUCAGCGGAUUUAUGUCCCUGAGCCGAAUAAGCAACAUAACAGGGUUGGUAUUGGGGUAGCUAUUGAGCAAGCUCGGCUUGUACCCGAGAAGCCUGCGGUUACCAUUACUGAUCCCGCCUUGAACCUGAUGGUUCAAGGGCUACGAUCCUUCAACGGCAUUCCCGGGGUUCCC